GGGUAGUUCGGAUUGGAGUUGAACCUGGCUGGAAGAAGUCUGAAAGGGAUUCGGGGAGCAGCUGAUAGUCGUAGAAAGUCGGCUGGCGGCGGAGCUUGGUGAGCGCUUAGGGCGGUUUAAUAGAUAACUGGGGGAACUCAUGUUGAAGGAGCUCAGGUGGUGUAGUGGGAGUUCGUCCGUCGGGGGAAUUCAGUCAGCACUGUGGGAAUCCGGC
rnacentral:lncRNA from 1 species